GCCGAGAUGGUUCAGUGGCAGAACGGCUUCUUGGUAAGAAGCAGGUCGCGGGUUCGAUUCCCGCUCUCGGCU
rnacentral:tRNA from 1 species